GAUGAACGCUGGCGGCGUGCCUAAUACAUGCAAGUCGAGCGAACAGACGAGGAGCUUGCUCCUCUGACGUUAGCGGCGGACGGGUGAGUAACACGGGGAUAACCUACCUAUAAGACGGGGAUAACUUCGGGAAACCGGAGCUAAUACCGGAUAAUAUAUUGAACCGCAUGGUUCAAUAGUGAAAGACGGUUUUGCUGUCACUUAUAGAUGGAUCCGCGCCGCAUUAGCUAGUUGGUAAGGUAACGGCUUACCAAGGCAACGAUGCGUAGCCGACCUGAGAGCGUGUUCCGCCCCACUGGAACUGAGCCACGGUCCAGACUCCUACGGGAGGCAGCAGUAGGGACUCUUCCGCAAUGGGCGAAAGCCUGACGGAGCAACGCCGCGUGAGUGCUGAAGGUCUUCGGAUCGUAAAACUCUGUUAUUAGGGAAGAACAAAUGUGUAAGUAACUAUGCACGUCUUGACGGUACCUAAUCAGAAAGCCACGGCUAACUACGUG
rnacentral:rRNA from 1 species